rnacentral:rRNA from 1 species
AGUGAACGCUGGCGGUAGGCCUAACACAUGCAAGUCGAACGGCAGCACAGUAAGAGCUUGCUCUUACGGGUGGCGAGUGGCGGACGGGUGAGGAAUACAUCGGAAUCUACUUUUUCGUGGGGGAUAACGUAGGGAAACUUACGCUAAUACCGCAUACGACCUACGGGUGAAAGCAGGGGAUCUUCGGACCUUGCGCGAUUGAAUGAGCCGAGGUCGGAUUAGCUAGUUGGCGUGGUAAAGGCCCACCAAGGCGACGAUCCGUAGCUGGUCUGAGAGGAUGAUCAGCCACACUGGAACUGAGACACGGUCCAGACUCCUACGGGAGGCAGCAGUGGGGAAUAUUGGACAAUGGGCGCAAGCCUGAUCCAGCCAUGCCGCGUGGGUGAAGAAGGCCUUCGGGUUGUAAAGCCCUUUUGUUGGGAAAGAAAAGCAGCAGGUUAAUACCCCGCUGUUCUGACGGUACCCAAAGAAUAAGCACCGGCUAACUUCGUG